GAUGAAGAACGCAGCGAAAUGCGAUAAGUAAUGUGAAUUGCAGAAUUCAGUGAAUCAUCGAAUCUUUGAACGCACAUUGCGCCCGCCAGCAUUCUGGCGGGCAUGCCUGUUCGAGCGUCAUUUCAACCCUCGAGCCCCCCCGGGGGCCUCGGUGUUGGGGGACGGCACACCAGCCGCCCCCGAAAUGCAGUGGCGACCCCGCCGCAGCCUCCCCUGCGUAGUAGCACACACCUCGCACCGGAGCGCGGAGGCGGUCACGCCGUAAAACGCCCAACUUUCUUAGAGUUGACCUCGGAUCAGGUAGGAAUACCCGCUGAACUUAAGCAUAUCAUAAGCGGAGGA
rnacentral:misc_RNA from 1 species